GUAGGGUGNGAGCGUUGUCCGGAAUUAUUGGGCGUAAAGGGCUCGUAGGCGGUCUGUUGCGUCGGGAGUGAAAACUCAGGGCUUAACCCUGAGCCUGCUUCCGAUACGGGCAGACUAGAGGUAUGCAGGGGAGAACGGAAUUCCUGGUGUAGCGGUGAAAUGCGCAGAUAUCAGGAGGAACACCGGUGGCGAAGGCGGUUCUCUGGGCAUUACCUGACGCUGAGGAGCGAAAGUGUGGGGAGCGAACAGGAUUAGAUACCCUGGUAGUCCACACCGUAAACGUUGGGCGCUAGGUGUGGGACUCAUUCCACGAGUUCCGUGCCGCAGCUAACGCAUUAAGCGCCCCGCCUGGGGGGUACGGCCGCAAGGCUA
rnacentral:rRNA from 1 species